AUGUCAGCUCUUGCAGCAGAGGUGGUCUUGGAACGGGGCAUGUCGCGUUUUAUUUUAUUUUAUUUUAUUUUACCUUUGUGGUAUAGAAGGCCACUAACGCAUGUACGUUUUUUCGGUUUGGUGCAUGACUUUGGAACAGCGUGGUUUCAGGCGGCUGAUGGUAAACCCACCCAUAUUGGGCUUUGGUUCUGGACACACUGGUUCGAUUUCCCUUCCCAAAAGAUUGGCUUUAAUUUGCUGAUGGUAAAGGUUAGACGUUUCGACGUUGGUUGCACCAGCGGCGUUCUUAGAUUUGCUUAUCAUUUAAUGCGCAUGGUUUUGACAGAGGUAUUGAGGAGAAUUAGUGUGAAAUAUUUGAAAAAAACAGUGUUCAACAGAUGGGUAGAAGCAGUCCCAUCAGAAGACCAAAGUGCGGCUACGGUAAUCAAGGUUCUGACUAGAGAAGUCAUGCCAAGGUUUGGAAUUCCGUCAGAAAUUAGCUCAGGCGAUAGGGCAGUGUUUAUUCAGAAAACACUCAAACGAGUGAUUUAACAUCUGCAUGUCAAACAAAGACUAGUCUGUGUCUACAAUCCUCAAACCACAAGGUAUGGUGGAGAGAGGAAUGGGACGCUGAAGACAAAGAUUAACAAAAUUAAAUUAGAGUACUAAAUUAAAGGACUAAUGCACUACGACUGACACUAAUGAGUUAUCGCAUGAAAACUAACAGAACGACGCAUCUAACCCCGCAUGAAAUGCUUAAGGGUCGACCCAUGCCUUCACUUAACAUUCGAGGGUCCCAAAAGGGACUUCCAUUAGAGUAAUUAGAAAUAGAAUUAAGGAAAAUAUGUUUGAACAUCUAACUGUUGUACAUAAGUUUGUAAUUCCAGCAAGAGAAACACAAAGUUCCAGGGCCAGAGGAGGAGCCAGAUGCAGACACGCCCGGAGCCGACCAACUACCCAAGGAUGAUGCAAUCAAAUUUCAGCAGGGUUUGAAUCAGUCCUGUUUUGGUGGUCCGCUAUUAACAAAAAUGUUGAUUGGAUAAAUAAUAUAUACUAUGAUCAGCAACGGUUUGCCAAUUUUUUCCACGGAUAAGGUCAAGGGACUAUAUAGAUAUAGAUAUGCUAUUGGCAGAGCAAGGAGGGGUGUGUGGGAUGAUAAGGACGACAUGUUGUACUUUUAUCCCCAAUAACACAGUACGGAUGGGUCGGUGGCCAGGGCGCUGGCAGGGUUACAGUCCCUCAGAUUAGAGUUGGCAGAGAGCUCCGGCAUUAAUGACCCCUUCACAGGAUGGAUGGAGAGCCCAAUGAGCGAUGGGUGCUACAGCAGCAGGUGCCAUCCAAGCUUACCUGGGGAUUGAGUAUACACCGGAGAGUUUGGACGAGGGACCACCAGAGGGGCCCGACCUGAUCUGGCUGGAGAACAUAGAAUAGACCCCCUGCACCAUUGUCCAAGAGCCCCCACGCAAUGCAGCGCACCAAUACAUGAAGAUCAUCCGGCCCCGGCGUCCUGUUUCCACCACCGUAUGCUGAAACCCCACCACGACACCCCCCUUCCCCCCCCCCCCCCGCCUGUGACGUGCUAGUAACCUCUCCAGGUGGGCUGCCCCAUUCCCGUCCCCGCCAACGGCACCACCCCCCUCCCACCUGAUGCACCCACGUCGCCCGGACCAGGGAUCUGCGUUCCGGUACCAGGGGCUGCGGCCCGUUCCCUUAAGGCUUGAGGGCGCCCCUGGCUGUAUUCGCUUCUGUACGCUUCACUGUUUUUAGCCGCUCCCAUAUCUAUGCCCGCGUCUACGCAACCGACGCCGGGAACGCAAAUGUUGUUGUUUAUAUCGCUGUCCCACUAGAUGGACCUCGGGGAUACACACGGGUGAGAUUCCAGGGGCCUUGAUUGCCCGUUUAUCAGAUGAGGUCCUGAGCGCAGUUGAAUAAAAGGGUCUAAUGCUCAGGUGGCGCCUUGCGACCACCUGUCCGUGAUGACGCUCAGGUCUAUUCCGUGGUUUCAGUUGUUCCCGUGCCCCGGGGCCUACCCUGGAUACCCCAUGCGUGUGAUUGCUUAUUGUUACAUGACCAGUUAACUCCUCCUCACAUCCUUAGUGUGUGGUCAUCUAGGGAUGGGUUGAGGGGGAUUGCCAUUCGUUGUGUACCUCAUGUCUUUCUGAUAUUAUUAUUAUUAUUUAGGGACACGUUUCAUGGUUACAUUUCUUUCCUGUGAUUGUUAUUGUGUAGUGUUUGUGUGAUUGUCGCAUUUUGUUUAUAUCGUUAUUGUUUACUGUUAGUUUUGUUGUUGCAUUUUGUUGUUGUUGUUAUGGUUUGGUGUUGGUUUUGUUGUGUAUCAUCUGCUGCCAGUAUUGUUGGUAUUGUCUGCUCGCGAUGUAAGGCCGGGGUGGAUGCCACCCCCCCUAGGUGGGGUGUGCAUGGCAUACCCAUGUCUGAAGCAUGGGUAGCGUUUCUCCCACGUGGUUCCCCAUACACCCGGUCCGGCGAGUUGUUUUAGUCCCAUGCUCAUGGUUGUUUGUUUUUAUGGUAAUUUGCCUUCUUUCUGUUAUUUCUAAUAGUGUUAUAAUGGUAGUCCCGCGCUGGAGUCCUAUCCCUCGUACCCCUAAUGAGUAAAAGUCGUCUUGCGACGACUUGAGGGGGAUAUGUUGGGCAAAAUAACCUGCUGAGUACAUCACAUGUACAGUAUAAAUAUAGCUAACUCCUACCCUAGCCUGAUGAGCACAUCACAUGGCAGACACAUUACAAUAUAGUCAACUCUUGCUCUAACCCAACGAACACAAACGUGAUAAUAUAUAGUCAGGUCAAGGCCGGAGCCGAAGGCCCCAUUUCCCAGGCUGGCAGAUGGUGGACACUCAGACAAUGCACCAGUCAUCCUCAAGAACGGGAGAGCCACAUUAAUUUAUCACACAGGAGACACUUUGAAGCUCUCCCCCGUUAGAAGGAACCAAGAGAAACACCUGCCCAUACCAAGGGCCUGAGAGCCACAUUAAAUUAUCACACACGAGACACUUCGGGGGGGGGCACUCCCCCGUUUUAAUUUAUCACACCGGAGAUACGAGGAGCUCUCCCCCGUUAGGAGGCAUAUACCAGGGCCUGAGAGCCACAUUAAUUUAUCACACAGGAGACAUUUCGAAGCUCUCCCCCGUUAGGAAGAACACAAGGGAUACACACCAGGGCCUGGGAGCCAAGGCCAAGCAAAAACACACAGAACCACACACACCUCAAACGCACACCUCAUUGAAAGGAGGAUACAGCAUAAAACUGUAUCACACAGGGACUCUUCAUCUUCUUCUGAAGCAGACCUUCCACGGAGGCGAAGCUCUGGACGAACCAUCAGCGCUGAUUAGGGACUUAGACAUAUUCGAUUUCUCACGCUUUAUGACACUGUAUAACCGUUGCCACUUUACUUAAUAAAUCCAAGGUCCUCGUGCCGACAGACUUUAUUACCUCUCCGUCUCAUUUUAUCUGGUCCAGUAACUAGACAGACCGUUUUUCCCCUCACGUGUCGGACUUGCACCCGGUCGUCUGGGGUUCAA
rnacentral:lncRNA from 1 species